rnacentral:lncRNA from 1 species
UGUGGUUCUAAGUGAAAUCAAUCACGGCUCAGUUCAGCAUUCACGGUUCACCGCGAACCACUGCCAAGUGGUUUUCAGGGGACCCAACUUCACUGCAGAAAGGAGCUGUUAUUUAAAGUGGGGGCAUUAAGGCAGAAGGAGAAAAAGAAGGAAACCUCUCCUCAGGCUGCUGUUGUUCUCCUUAACCUGCCCUCAGGAGAUCACCCAGUCCCUUCCCAGAGGCGGUUUGAUGAAAAGGCAAGAAAAUAUGAGUGAAGUCACAAAUGUCACCAAGGAAAGGAAGAACAGAAAAAUAACUUGAAUAUUCAAGAUGGGCAGCCUAGUUCAACGACACAUCAAGCCUUGUGAAAAGGUGACUCCGAGACAUGGAGGCACAUGCCUGUAGCCU